rnacentral:tRNA from 1 species
CCCGCAGUAGCUCAGCCUGGUAGACCCGAAGGGGCCACAAGCUUCCGGCUGUAGACCGGAGUGUCGUCGGCUCAAAAGCGCCGAAAGGCGUCUGAGGUUCCGACCUGCGGGA